rnacentral:rRNA from 1 species
UACGUAGGGCGCAAGCGUUGUCCGGAAUUAUUGGGCGUAAAGAGCUCGUAGGCGGCUUGUCACGUCGGGGUGUGAAAGCCCGGGGCUUAACCCCAGGUCUGCAUUCGAUACGGGCUGGCUGGAGUGUGGUAGGGGAGAUCGAAUUCCUGGUGUAGCGGUGAAAUGCGCAGAUAUCAGGAGGAACACCGGUGGCGAAGGCGGAUCUCUGGGCCAUUACUGACGCUGAGGAGCGAAAGCGUGGGGAGCGAACAGG